ACACUUUGGCAAUGUGUAUACUGAAAUUGAUGUGAUACAGAGAAAAUUAGCAUGGCCCCUGUGCAUAGGUGACACACACACAUUUGUGAAGCAUUACAGAUUUUU
ensembl:snRNA U6 U6 spliceosomal RNA